rnacentral:rRNA from 1 species
GAUGAACGCUGGCGGCGUGCCUAAUACAUGCAAGUCGAGCGAACAGACGAGGAGCUUGCUCCUCUGACGUUAGCGGCGGACGGGUGAGUAACACGUGGAUAACCUACCUAUAAGACUGGGAUAACUUCGGGAAACCGGAGCUAAUACCGGAUAAUAUAUUGAACCGCAUGGUUCAAUAGUGAAAGACGGUUUUGCUGUCACUUAUAGAUGGAUCCGCGCCGCAUUAGCUAGUUGGUAAGGUAACGGCUUACCAAGGCAACGAUGCGUAGCCGACCUGAGAGGGUGAUCGGCCACACUGGAACUGAGACACGGUCCAGACUCCUACGGGAGGCAGCAGUAGGGAACCUUCCGCAAUGGGCGAAAGCCUGACGGAGCAACGCCGCGUGAGUGAUGAAGGUCUUCGGAUCGUAAAACUCUGUUAUUAGGGAAGAACAAAUGUGUAAGUAACUAUGCACGUCUUGACGGUACCUAAUCAGAAAGCCACGGCUAACUACGUG